GCCAACCCAAUCCGCCAGAGCUCUCCAUUCCAAUGGAGUAAUUCCACAAUUAAAACCUGUUUCACAGGGAAUUUGAUCCAUUUAUACCAAACUCAUUUUAUACCUUCAUUGGACACUAAAAAAAAAUAUAUAUAUAUUUAUAUAAUCUGGCAGAGACAGUAUUACCAUCACAAAAAUGAGCCUACUGCAGAGGGUUUCAUACCCUUUUCAAACACUUCCAAUUGCUGUCCCCAUUACUUUCUUUACGUCCCUGGGUACCCGCCUAAUUUGGUUCAAAUGGAAGGGCAAAAAGUCCAAAUAACACUACCUGAGGCCAGAGAGGGACUGGCCACCCCUAACUUCAAGCCGUAUUAUCAGACAAGUCACUUGCUAGGUUUAGUGGAGUUGGCAAAGGAAGGGAUGCAUUAGCAAAAAAACAAAAAAUAGUUUUUGUUCGAAAAUCCAGGUAAGAAACAUUUUUCUGCUUCGGCAAUUCGGACCAAUGGUAUUCGGUUCGGUACUUCCGAACGUGGUCACUUCAGACAUUCGUAACCAUCGGAAUGUCCAAAUAGUAAUGAAAUUCGUACGAAUGUACAUUUGGAACGGAACAAAUUGCAAGUCUACUUUCUAUAUCGUAUUAAUUGGCUAAGGAUGUUUGUCCGAUGCAGUCAUGCGCAGUGGAAAACAUCCCAUGCCAGGCGGCAUGAUGUGACACGUACAGGAUGACGUCAUUGCACAUAAAGGAAUUAGCUUAUUGGUCAAGAUUCCGGUUAUUCACGUAAUUUUCCCUCCCUCUCCUUUUGCCACUUUUCAGAAAUCCAAAUCACUUUGUGCAUUCGUAAGCAUCUGAAUGGCAUAAAAAUUUGUACGAAUGUACAUUCGGAACGAAACGAAUCGCACAUGUCUAGAAUGCAUAAACCAUGGAAAUCCAGAGAGGCAAAAUUGGGACGCCGAGUCGGCACUCCUGUUUCUGAACCCCAGGUGGGC